GGGCGACUAGCUCAGUUGGUUAGAGCGCCGCUUUCACACGGCGGAGGUCGCUGGUUCGAAUCCUGCGUCGCCCA
rnacentral:tRNA from 1 species